CUCUAAUAGUAUAAUUAUUACCUUGGCCUUGUAAACCAAAAAUGAAGANCUCAAAUCUUCUUAGAAC
rnacentral:tRNA from 1 species